UUGGGAGCUCACUAGCUUCGGAGUCAUAGGAACUCCAAAGUUAAGUAAGUUGUGGCUAGAGCAAUCCCAAGAUGGGUGACCCAGUGGGAAGUUGCUGGUGAGUUCCCAGA
rfam:Prunus persica cultivar Lovell chromosome G6, whole genome shotgun sequence.